AGUAUGGAUACAGUAAUAUAUAUAUAUAUGUGAGGUAACUUCCCUGUUACGUUCACUAAGGUAUAAUGUCUCUCUCACAGCAACAGCUCAUUCUGUCCGUUCUCCAAAAGCUGGACAAAGCCGAAUUUAAACUUUUUAGAAACUAUUUGAAGAAUGAAGACUUUCUAAGGAGCCAUCAGUACAAAGAAAUCCCCUGGUCGCUGCUGGAGGAGGCCGAUCGUGUGGAUGUGACAAACCUCCUGAUCAAUCGCUACACAAAGGAGAACGCAACGGCUGUAGCAGCCAAUGUGCUGAUGGACAUGAAUCGCCCGCGCCUGGCAGCUGAACUUGGGCAUUGUGCCAACUAGAGCAUGGAAAUCUGCCAAAGAUGAAGCUUCUGUGCUCCCUCUGUGUCAGGGGUUUGGAGUUACGGGUCCCCAGGGGGACGCUCAGUCACCGGUCACUCAUUCCUUAUUGCGUCAUUAUUCCACUUUUAAAUCUUCACAUUUUUCCACUUUAAUAAUUGCUCAUUACAUAUAAGAAAGCUUGAGGAGCACAGGCGGACGUGGCUAUGAAUAAAAUAUGUGAUUUACUGUAGGUACUCUGGUCUGGGCACUUACUGCACUUUUUUUUAUUUCUGCUUAAUGAAAAUAUUGGAGAAAAAGAUACUAUUGUGAAAAAUAGACUCAAUUUGAAUAAUAAACAAGUAACAUUAUAUAAUAAUAA